rnacentral:misc_RNA from 1 species
ACACCUCAACUCUCAUGGCUUGCCAUGAUGAGCUUGGACUUUGGGGGUCUUGCUGGCCUGCGGCCAGCUCCUCUCAAAUGAAUUAGCUUUCCAGUGUUUGGUUGGCAUCACAGGUGUGAUAACUAUCUACGCUUGUGGUUUCCACCAGGUAACCUUCAGUAACAUGGGGGUUUGCUGGAGCUCACAAAUGUCUCUCCUCAGUGGGGACAGCUCUUUGAAC